rnacentral:rRNA from 1 species
UACGUAGGGUGCAAGCGUUGUCCGGAAUUAUUGGGCGUAAAGAGCUCGUAGGCGGUCUGUCACGUCUGCUGUGAAAACUCGGGGCUUAACCCCGGGCCUGCAGUGGGUACGGGCAGACUAGAGUGCGGUAGGGGAGACUGGAAUUCCUGGUGUAGCGGUAAAUGCGCAGAUAAUCAGGAGGAACACCGGUGGCGAAGGCGGGUCUC